rnacentral:sRNA from 1 species
UCAGAUGCUGAACGUGAAGGAUAACGUUGCGACAGCAACGGCCCGAAGGGCGAGGCGAAGUCGAGUCAUCCUGCACGACCCACCA